rnacentral:rRNA from 1 species
GAAUAUUGGACAAUGGGCGAAAGCCUGAUCCAGCCAUGCCGCGUGUGUGAAGAAGGUCUUCGGCUCGUAAAGCCCUUAAAGGUGGGAGGAAGGGUUGUAGAUUAAUACUCUGCAAUUUUGACGUUACCGACAGAAUAAGCACCGGCUCACUCUGUGCCAGCCGCCGCGGGAAUACAGAGGGUGCAAGCGUUAAUCGGAAUUACUGGGCGUAAAGCGCGCGUAGGUGGUUUGUUAAGUUGGAUGUGAAAUCCCCGGGCUCAACCUGGGAACUGCAUCCAAAACUGGCAAGCUAGAGUAUGGUAGAGGGUGGUGGAAUUUCCUGUGUAGCGGUGAAAUGCGUAGAUAUAGGAAGGAACACCAGUGGCGAAGGCGACCACCUGGACUGAUACUGACACUGAGGUGCGAAAGCGUGGGGAGCAAACA